GAUAAACGCUGGCGGCGUGCAUGAGACAUGCAAGUCGAACGAGCGAGUCGGGCUUGCCCGAGUCGCUAGUGGCGGACGGCUGAGUAACGCGUAGGUGACCUGCCCCGAAGUGGGGAAUAACUGCCCGAAAGGGUGGCUAAUACCGCAUGUGGUCGCACGUUCGGUCGGGCGAGUAAAGCCGCAAGGCGCUUCGGGAGGGGCCUGCGUCCGAUUAGCUCGUUGGUGGGGUAACGGCUCACCAAGGCGACGAUCGGUAGGUGGUCUGAGAGGACGAUCACCCAGACUGGGACUGAGACACGGCCCAGACUCCUACGGGAGGCAGCAGUCGGGAAUUUUGCUCAAUGGGGGAAACCCUGAAGCAGCAACGCCGCGUGAGGGAUGAAGGCCUUCGGGUUGUAAACCUCUUUUGUCAGGGACGAUGAUGACGGUACCUGGCGAAUAAGCCACGGCUAACUACGUGCCAGCAGCCGCCGUAAAAC
rnacentral:rRNA from 1 species